rnacentral:rRNA from 1 species
CGUGUAGGCGGUCUUUUAAGUCUGAUGUGAAAGCCCGGGGCUCACCCCCGGAAGUGCAUUGGAAACUGGGAGACUAGAGUACCGGAGAGGAAGGUGGAAUUCCAGGUGUAGCGGUGAAAUGCGUAGAUAUCUGGAGGAACACCGGUGGCGAAGGCGGCCUUCUGGACGGAUACUGACGCUGAGACGCGAAAGCGUGGGGAGCAAACAGGAUUAGAUACCCUGGUAGUCCACGCCAUAAACGAUGGGCACUAGGUGUUCGGGGUAUUGACCCCCUGAGUGCCGCAGCUAACGCAUUAAGUGCCCCGCCUGGGGACUACGGCCGCAAGGUUAAA